rnacentral:rRNA from 1 species
GCCUGCCCUGUGACUGUAAGUUUAACGGCCGCGGUACCCUGACCGUGCGAAGGUAGCGCAAUCACUUGUCUUUUAAAUGGAGACCUGUAUGAAUGGCAUAACGAGGGCUUAGCUGUCUCCUUUUUCCCGUCAAUGAAAUUGAUCUCCCCGUGCAGAAGCGGGGAUGCGAACAUAAGACGAGAAGACCCUAUGGAGCUUUAGACGCCAGGACAGACCAUGUUAAGAACCCCAAAUUAAAGGAUAAAACAAGAUGAAACCUGUCCCCAUGUCUUUGGUUGGGGCGACCGUGGGGUAACAAACAACCCCCAUGUGGACUGGGAGAACCUCUCCUAAAAGCAAGAACCGCAGUUCUAACUAACAGAACUUCUGACCAAUAAGAUCCGGCAACGCCGAUCAACGGACCGAGUUACCCUAGGGAUAACAGCGCAAUCCCCUCUGAGAGUUCAUAUCGAUAAGGGGGUUUACGACCUCGAUGUUGGAUCAGGACAUCCUGAUGGUGCAGCAGCUAUUAAGGGUUCGUUUG